rfam:Ochrobactrum sp. P6BS-III NODE_18_length_95383_cov_56.7095, whole genome shotgun sequence.
UGUCAAGAGUCGUAAGCGUCUUUUUGGCGGGUGGAUUUCUUUUGCCUUUUGAAAGGUGAGAGGGAAUG